AGGAGCCCAGCUGGCUUCCCCUAGUGAAUCCCGUGCUGGGGACACGCUAGCAGAGCUGCCUGCCAGUCCCGCGCCCGCACGCCCACACCCCUCAGUCCUUGGGCAGUGGAUGGGACCGGGCGCCUAGGAGCAGGGGGCGGCGCCCGUCGGGUAGGGUCGGGCUGGCGGGAGCCCGGGGCGGGGCUUGGGCAUGGCUGGCUGCAGGUCCCCAGCCCUGCCACACGGGGAGGCGGCUGAGGCCCAGCAAGAAUUCAAGCUCCGCGGGGGCAGGCCAGCAGUGCUGGGGGACCCGGCGCACCCUCCGCAGCUGCUGGCCCGGGUGCUAAACCCCUCACUGCCCGGGCCGGCGGUGCCGGCGGGCUGCUCUCAGUGCGGGACCUCGGAGCCUGCGCCCACCCGGAACUAGCCGCGUUCAGCCUUGGUUCCCGCCCCCGCCUCUCCCGCCACACCUCUCCACAAGCAGAGGGAGCUGGCUUCAGCCUCAGCCAGCACGGAGAGGGGCCCCCACAGCGCAGUGGCGGGCUGAAGGGCUCCUUGAGCAUGGCCAGAGUGGACGCCAAAGCUGAGGAGGCGCCGAGAGCCAGUGAGGGCUGCUAGCACGUUGUCACCUCUCAAUACAUAAAACUACUGGAGGGUGGUUCCAAGAUGGCCAAAUAGAAACAGCUCCAGUCUACAGCUCCCAGCAUGAGCGAUGCAGAAGACGAAUGAUUUCUGCAUUUCCAACUGAGUAGAGAGCUGACUUUAGAGGGAUCAAGAAUAGCUUGCUGGAUGGAAGGAGCUCUCCCUCCCAUACUCCAAUUGAAGAGACCACAUGUUGACAUGGUGGAACCACCUGAUAGAAGCACCUGAAUCACCACUGGAAGAAUAGCUGUUCUGGAGAGCCCUUCAAAACCUAAAUUGGACUCUGCAUAAGCAAGAAAUCAAUUUUCAAAUUGGAAGAACCUGGAGCACCUUGUGAAACUGACAUUGAGGAAAUGGCAUGGUAAAACAGUAAAAAAAAAUUUCUUGUUACAUGGAGUGAGCUGCUUCAUCAAGCUUCUGUUGAAGGCAAUCCUACUGGAACUUUUAGUCAAAUGGAAUUUUUUUAAAAUCUCAUUUUAAGGUUUCCUGGCACUUGUAACUGAAAGAUCCUAACUGACACAGCAGGAAAGCGGAAGGGUGGCAGCUGUUCAGUUAGGGCAUAGUUCUCAAGAUUGUCCUUUAGGAACGUGUAUCUUUGUGGGAUCUCAUCUAUCUCAUACAAGGAUUGCAUUGAUGCAUGUAGUGUUCAGUAGCAUGACUGACCAGAGUGGAAGUUCCUGGAAAUUUUAGCUAUCAUCAUGAUGAUGAUGGUGAUUAUGAUUGUUAAAGACUGGGUUAGGAAAUGAUUUUGUAAAUACAAUGAGAAGAAGAGCUUUAAAAUUUGCCUAAAUUUCCCCACUUAAUAUUAAAAAGGAGGUGUGCUAUUAAAUUUUAAGUUUUUCUCAAACUCUCACAGCUUUUUUUUGUGGGUUUUUAGUGAAUUUUGAGCCCCCUUUUCCCUCAUCUCUAUUACUUUAUGAUAAUGUGAAGGCUCAUUGUUAUGUGAACACACUGUUAUGAAACAAUACUCUCAGACAUAAGCAGCUUUCCUUAAACCAAAUCAAAAAUACUAUUUCUAUUGCUCAUGAUUUUCAGAGGACUUCAGAGGACCCUGAAGCAUGGGGUGCUGUGAAUGCCACUAACUAACUUCAUUAAUCACACUUAUAAUGUAAAGGGAGAAUUUUCUACUUUCUAUAAAUAAUCUAAAAUUUAAAAGUUUGUCAACUAAAACAUUUGUAAAAUUUGUAUUGAUAAAGUCCUACAAAUAAUAUGACUCCUAUCUUGUUUGAAAUAGUUUUGUCUGAAGUUUUGUCAUAAAAUGGAAACUACCUAUACACAUGAAGUUUGCGGGUCCUUGAAAGAAAGGGUUUUUUACUUCUUUUUUCUUUUUGUCCUAGUCCAUUCAGGCUGCUGUAAAAAAAAUUACCAUAAACUGGGUGGCUCACAAACAAUAGAAAUUUAUUGUUCAUGGUUCUGGCAGCUGGGAAGUCCAAGAUCAAGGCAUCGACAAAUUUGGUGACAGAUGAGGCCUCGCUCCCUCAAAGACAAUAGUCUUAUCACUCUAACCUCAUGUGGCAGAAGGAGUAAAUGAGCUCCCUGGGGCCUCUUUUACAAGGGCACUAGUACUACUUAUGAGGGUGGAGCCCUUAUGACCUGAUUACUUCCCAAAGGCCACACUUUCUAAUACCGUCAUCUUGGGAGUUAGAAUUUCAAUAUAUAAAUUUUGCGGGGGACACAAACAUUCAGUCCAUUACACUUUUAGUGCCAUAAUGGGAUUUGGUUUUUAUUAUCAAUGACCUACAGGAUGUACAUUUUAAUCUUAAAAUAAUCUAGGGCAGAAUGUGUGUUCAUGUAACUCAGUUUGUCACCAUUUUUUUCACCAUCAUCAUCAGGACUUAAUGCCUAAACAUAUCCUGAGUAUGUUUAGCAUACAUACCCUUGUGCAACUCACCUGAGAGUGGAAAUGAAAUGAUGAAAGCACCCUGCACUCUUGGCCUAGGUGCACAUUUACUGAUAUUACACAUUGAGCAGAAGAGACUUAGCAAGAAGCUAAUGAAGCUUAAAGUUCAGGUACCUGUACUUGCAUGUUCCUUCCAGGGACCUGGGAGGGACUCUGGCAAUUUUUACUUGUAAAUUUCUAUUUUUUUUUUUUCCAAAAUAGGGCUUUCCAAAAUUGUAUCUGCCUCAGGCCUUACAAAAACAGGGAAUAUCUUGGCAUCUAUGUUUCUGUUGAGAGGUAGGAGCAAAAGGAAAGCUUUAACUCCCAAUCCUGGUGUCGUUUCCAGGCACAGAGAGUUUAAAAUAUUCCUCUCUUCCUCACCAUGUGCAGAGAACACUGCAUUCAGAAGCAUUACCUGCAGCUCAUGUUAGUGAGAGACAGAGAGCUGCAGUACUGUGCAGCCAUUCCUGGUUCAUUAGCAAAGCAAUGGGUAUGUAGAUGCAGAGAAUAAGGACUUUUGUAAUUUGUCAUUAAUCCUGGGAUAGGAGGAUAAUAAUACAGGACAAGUGCAGCAUGCAGGCAUGAGAACAUUGAGAAGAGAACCCAUGGGAACAGAAAGAAAAUGAGCAUAACUACACCAAAUACAGAUUUCUGUUUUCAACAGACUAGUUAAGUGUUUGUGUCAGUCUUUUGUGAAAAGAAUUGGGACUUACAAUCAGAAACUGCACAUACUUCGAAAACUGCAGCUUUAUGUUAACUACAUCGUGUCUGUAUAGUAAGCUAACCAUAUAAUACAGUAUUCUACUAUACUAAA